UACACGCUGUGACUAGCAUAUCAAUAAGCGGAGGAAAAGAAACUAACAAGGAUUCCCCUAGUAACGGCGAGUGAAGCGGGAAGAGCUCAAAUUUGAAGUCUUAAAGGGUUUCCCUUUACGAAUUGUAGUUUAAAGAAGUGUUUUCUGUUGAGGUUUUGGUAAAAGUUCUUUGGAAUAGGACAUCAUAGAGGGUGAGAAUCCCGUAUUUGACCUUUACUUUCAACUUUGUGAUACACUUUCAAAGAGUCGGAUUGUUUGGGAAUGCAGUCCAAAAUGGGUGGUAAAUUUCAUCUAAAGCUAAAUAUUGGCGAGAGACCGAUAGCGAACAAGUACCGUGAGGGAAAGAUGAAAAGAACUUUGAAAAGAGAGUUAAACAGUACGUGAAAUUGUCAAAAGGGAAGCGUUUGACACCAGUGUUGGUUUUCUGAAAAUCAAUUGAAGAACUGUUUAUGCUAAGCUGUUUAGACUUUAUCAGCUAAUCUGUUUAGUUUUGAGCUUUUCUUUAAUGCACUUUUCAGUUAACAAGUCAACAUCAAUUUCUUUUGCUGUAAAAAAGCUUGAGGAAGGUGGCUUGAGAUUCGUCUUAAGUGUUUAUAGCCUCUUGCCUAUGCAGUCGGAGAGAUUGAGGUCUGCAGCGUAGAUCCUUCGGGGCUAAAUGCAUUUGUGCUAAGUUAUAACAUUUUAUAGACAACUUGUUGACUAUGAUUUGUCUUGUAGCUUACUCGCUUAUGUUAUUUUACCUACGCUUAGGAUGUUGACACACGCGCGUGCUCG
rnacentral:rRNA from 1 species